rnacentral:rRNA from 1 species
CCUACGGGCGGCUGCAGUGAGGAAUCUUGCGCAAUGGGGGAAACCCUGACGCAGCAACGCCGCGUGAGUGAGGAAGGCCUUCGGGUCGUAAAGCUCUGUCAGAUGGGAAGAAAUGGAUGGGGGCUAAUAUCGUCCAUCCUUGACGGUACCAUCAGAGGAAGCACCGGCUAACUCCGUGCCAGCAGCCGCGGUAAUACGGGGGGUGCAAGCGUUGUUCGGAAUCAUUGGGCGUAAAGCGCGCGCAGGCGGCUUGGUAAGUCAGAUGUGAAAUCCCUGGGCUUAACCCAGGAAGUGCAUUUGAUACUGCCUCGCUAGAGUACGGGAGAGGAAAGUGGAAUUCCUGGUGUAGAGGUGAAAUUCGUAGAUAUCAGGAGGAACACCGGUGGCGAAGGCGACUUUCUGGCCCGAUACUGACGCUCAGGCGCGAAAGCGUGGGGAGCAAACAGGCUUAGAUACCCCGGUAGUC